rnacentral:rRNA from 1 species
GAUGAACGCUGGCGGCGUGCUUAACACAUGCAAGUCGAACGGUGAACACGGAGCUUGCUCUGUGGGAUCAGUGGCGAACGGGUGAGUAACACGUGAGCAACCUGCCCCUGACUCUGGGAUAAGCGCUGGAAACGGCGUCUAAUACUGGAUAUGUGACGUGACCGCAUGGUCUGCGUUUGGAAAGAUUUUUCGGUUGGGGAUGGGCUCGCGGCCUAUCAGCUUGUUGGUGAGGUAAUGGCUCACCAAGGCGUCGACGGGUAGCCGGCCUGAGAGGGUGACCGGCCACACUGGGACUGAGACACGGCCCAGACUCCUACGGGAGGCAGCAGUGGGGAAUAUUGCACAAUGGGCGCAAGCCUGAUGCAGCCACGCCGCGUGAGGGAUGACGGCCUUCGGGUUGUAAACCUCUUUUAGCAGGGAAGAAGCGAAAGUGACGGUACCUGCAGAAAAAGCGCCGGCUAACUACGUG